UACGGGGGGGGCAAGCGUUGUUCGGAAUUACUGGGCGUAAAGGGCUCGUAGGCGGCCAACUCAGUCGGACGUGAAAUCCCUCGGCUUAACCGGGGAACUGCGUCCGAUACUGGAUGGCUCGAGUGUGGGAGAGGGAUGCGGAAUUCCAGGUGUAGCGGUGAAAUGCGUAGAUAUCUGGAGGAACACCGGUGGCGAAGGCGGCUCACUGGCCCGGUACUGACGCUGAGGUGCGAAAGCGUGGGGAGCAAACAGG
rnacentral:rRNA from 1 species